UGAAACCAGAUCUUGUUAUUAUGUAUUUGAAGAUAGAAGAGACUGGACACAAACUCGAGAGACCUGUACAUCAGAAUCAACAUACGUCGUUCAACCCAAUACAGACGAAGAGAAAUCAUGGUUGAUGACCACCCUGACUGAUAUCGGUCUGCCAGUAACGGUGUGGCUUGGUAAAAUCCGAACUGCUCCAGGACAAUGGUCUUGGUACCAUAAGAACCACUUAGAAGUUUCGGAUAUGGUACCUAACGGUGGUAUCGAUUCUACCGACAUGUCCUAUGCACGGCUCACGGAAGAUGGCGAGUGGCAGAAAGCUGCUUCAACAGAGAUUUAUGGCGUUGUUUGUGAGGAUUCAGUCACCCCCAGUUAUUUAAAGCUGGCAAAGGUUAAGAAUAUUGGAGGUGAUUGGAUAUAUGGGGAAGCGUGGAUUGAGGAUCCAGAAGUCACAACGACAGUUGAAAGUAGUACGGAAGGUGAAAGUAGUACUAAUGCUUAUAAAGAGUCCUUGACUACUGGUGAUGUGACAGUAAGCAGCUUAGAACCAACGUCCCACUCAACCACAGACCCGAACACCUCAAUAUUUGGAUAUUGUGCAGAUCCAAAAUGGAUGAACCCAGGCUCUAUACUGGAUAUUAUGUAUUCGAAAUUAAGCACUGUUGACGAAUCAGUGGUGGAAAUAAUGAUUCUUCAAAAAGCUUCUAAUCUUAGGUGUGCCAAAACCUGUUCAUUGGAUGCACGGUGUAUUUUGUAUACAAGAGAUAAAUACAAGACUUGUCGUGGAUUUAAGGCCGACAGGUCCAGUACCAGCAGAAUUAGUUGUUCGGAUGAAGUGUCUUGUUUCCUGAAAAUGUGUAACGAUUCUCCAACCCCGUUGUAAUUUAAUAAAAUUUAAUGUCUCCCUCUCGAUCAAAUCUCACAAAUGAUUAGAUAUAGACAUAAACUGGC